CAGAGGACAAAUCACAAACAGAGGAUGCUGUCGUGAAGAUAUUCUUCAACACAGAUUGUUUCUAUUCUAUACUUGCUAGUAAAACAUUUUGAAAUAGUUUGACACAAACCAAGGGUUUCCAAGGCGCCUAUCGCCUGGCCUUUCACUUAGUUUGUAUCAAUCCACUCGAAUACAAUUUGACACAAAACUGAAGGAUGGUUGCCGAAG